UCUAACUGGAGCUUCCGUAUGUCUUUGUGUCCCAAAGCUAUCUUGCUCCAAUAUUCUCCUUCUUCAUUUUAGGCUAGGUUUGAGUCCCUAAGCUAUUUUUCUUUCAAAUUCUCCAUGGAUCAGAGCCUAGGUAUUGAGUCCCUUCUCUGAAAUUCUCUUUACUAUUUUUCUAAUAUUUUUCUCCUUCGUUUCUUGAAAAGAAAUAGAACAAGAAGUACACAUAUUCAAAUCACCACUGUAGGACAUCAUUUAAGUCUCACUGC
rnacentral:misc_RNA from 1 species